rnacentral:rRNA from 1 species
CAAUAGCGUAUAUUUAAGUUGUUGCAGUUAAAAAGCUCGUAGCUGGAUUUCGGAUGGGAUUUGCCGGUCCGUCGUUACGAUGUGCACUGGCCAGUCCUAUCUUGUUGUCGGGGACUAGCUCCUUGGAUUCACUUCCUGGGACUAGGAGCUGACGAGGUUACUUUGAGUAAAUUAGAGUGUUCAAAGCAAGCCUACGCUCUGAAUACAUUAGCAUGGAAUAACGCGAUAGGACUCUGGCUUAUCUUGUUGGUCUGUGAGACCAGAGUAAUGAUUAAGAGGGACAGUCGGGGACAUUCGUAUUUCAUUGUCAGAGGUGAAAUUCUUGGAUUUAUGAAAGACGAACUUCUGCGAAAGCAUUUGUCAAGGAUGUUUUCAUUAA